AGUGAACGCUGGCGGUAGGCCUAACACAUGCAAGUCGAACGGCAGCACAGUAAGAGCUUGCUCUUACGGGUGGCGAGUGGCGGACGGGUGAGGAAUACAUCGGAAUCUACUUUUUCGUGGGGGAUAACGUAGGGAAACUUACGCUAAUACCGCAUACGACCUACGGGUGAAAGCAGGGGAUCUUCGGACCUUGCGCGAUUGAAUGAGCCGAUGUCGGAUUAGCUAGUUGGCGGGGUAAAGGCCCACCAAGGCGACGAUCCGUAGCUGGUGUGAGAGGAUGAUCAGCCACACUGGAACUGAGACACGGUCCAGACUCCUACGGGAGGCAGCAGUGGGGAAUAUUGGACAAUGGGCGCAAGCCUGAUCCAGCCAUACCGAGUGGGUGAAGAAGGCCUUCGGGUUGUAAAGCCCUUUUGUUGGGAAAGAAAAGCAGCAGGUUAAUACCCCGCUGUUCUGACGGUACCCAAAGAAUAAGCACCGGCUAACUUCGUG
rnacentral:rRNA from 1 species